rnacentral:rRNA from 1 species
AACGAACGCUGGCGGCAUGCCUAACACAUGCAAGUCGAACGGGAUCUUGACUUCGGUCAGGUGAGAGUGGCGGACGGGUGAGUAACACGUGGGAACCUGCCUUUUGGUUCGGGAUAACCGCGGGAAACUGCGGCUAAUACCGGAUACUCCCGAGAGGGGAAAGAUUUAUCGCCAGAAGAGGGGCCCGCGUCCGAUUAGGUAGUUGGUGGGGUAAUGGCCUACCAAGCCGACGAUCGGUAGCUGGUCUGAGAGGAUGAUCAGCCACACUGGGACUGAGAUACGGCCCAGACUCCUACGGGAGGCAGCAGUGGGGAAUAUUGGACAAUGGGGGGCAACCCUGAUCCAGCAAUGCCGCGUGAGUGAUGAAGGCCUUAGGGUUGUAAAGCUCUUUUGCCAGGGAAGAUGAUGACUGUACCUGGAGAAUAAGCCCCGGCUAACUUCGUGCCAGCAGCCGCGGUAAU